UUUGAUCCUGGCUCAGGAUGAACGCUGGCGGCGUGCUUAACACAUGCAAGUCGAACGGGAAUGCCGCGCUGAUGCGAUUUCGGUCAAAUCAUGUGGCAUUCGAGUGGCGGACGGGUGAGUAACGCGUGGGUAACCUGCCUUACACAGGGGGAUAACACCUGGAAACAGGUGCUAAUACCGCAUAAGCGCACAGGGCCGCAUGGCCCGGUGUGAAAAACUCCGGUGGUGUAAGAUGGACCCGCGUCUGAUUAGCUUGUUGGCGGGGUAGGGGCCCACCAAGGCGACGAUCAGUAGCCGGCCUGAGAGGGUGGACGGCCACAUUGGGACUGAGACACGGCCCAGACUCCUACGGGAGGCAGCAGUGGGGAAUAUUGGGCAAUGGGCGCAAGCCUGACCCAGCAACGCCGCGUGAAGGAAGAAGGCUUUCGGGUUGUAAACUUCUUUUGUCAGGGACGAAGCAAGUGACGGUACCUGACGAAUAAGCCACGGCUAACUACGUGCCAGCAGCCGCGGUAAUACGUAGGUGGCAAGCGUUAUCCGGAUUUACUGGGUGUAAAGGGCGUGUAGGCGGGACUGCAAGUCAGAUGUGAAAACCACGGGCUCAACCUGUGGCCUGCAUUUGAAACUGUAGUUCUUGAGUACUGGAGAGGCAGACGGAAUUCCUAGUGUAGCGGUGAAAUGCGUAGAUAUUAGGAGGAACACCAGUGGCGAAGGCGGUCUGCUGGACGGCAACUGACGCUGAGGCGCGAAAGCGUGGGGAGCAAACAGGAUUAGAUACCCUGGUAGUCCACGCUGUAAACGAUGGAUACUAGGUGUGGGGGGACUGACCCCCUCCGUGCCGCAGUUAACACAAUAAGUAUCCCACCUGGGGAGUACGAUCGCAAGGUUGAAACUCAAAGGAAUUGACGGGGGCCCGCACAAGCGGUGGAGUAUGUGGUUUAAUUCGAAGCAACGCGAAGAACCUUACCAGGGCUUGACAUCCCGGUGACCGUCCUAGAGAUAGGAUUUUCCCUUCGGGGACACUGGAGACAGGUGGUGCAUGGUUGUCGUCAGCUCGUGUCGUGAGAUGUUGGGUUAAGUCCCGCAACGAGCGCAACCCUUAUUGUUAGUUGCUACGCAAGAGCACUCUAGCGAGACUGCCGUUGACAAAACGGAGGAAGGUGGGGACGACGUCAAAUCAUCAUGCCCCUUAUGUCCUGGGCCACACACGUACUACAUUGGUGGUCAACAGAGGGAAGCAAAGCCGCGAGGUGGAGCAAAUCCCUAAAAGCCAUCCCAGUUCGGAUCGCAGGCUGCAACCCGCCUGCGUGAAGUUGGAAUCGCUAGUAAUCGCGGAUCAGAAUGCCGCGGUGAAUACGUUCCCGGGCCUUGCACACACCGCC
rnacentral:rRNA from 1 species